rnacentral:tRNA from 1 species
CAAAAUGUAGCUUAACUAAAGCCCCUCGCUUACACCGAGCCAAUGUCUGUGAAACUCAGACCAUUUNGGAGCCCCCAAUCCAGCCUAACACAUCCGCAUGUA